rnacentral:rRNA from 2 species
UACGGAGGAUCCAAGCGUUAUCCGGAAUCAUUGGGUUUAAAGGGUCCGUAGGCGGGACAAUAAGUCAGCGGUGAAAGUCUGUGGCUCAACCAUAGAAUUGCCAUUGAUACUGUUGUUCUUGAGUGUUUAUGAAGUGGUUAGAAUAUGUAGUGUAGCGGUGAAAUGCUUAGAUAUUACAUGGAAUACCGAUUGCGAAGGCAGAUCACUAAUAAAAUACUGACGCUGAUGGACGAAAGCGUAGGUAGCGAACAGG